AGUGAACGCUGGCGGUAGGCCUAACACAUGCCAGUCGAACGGCAGCACAGUAAGCGCUUGCUCUUACGGGUGGCGAGUGGCGGACGGGUGAGGAAUACAUCGGAAUCUACUUUUUCGUGGGGGAUAACGUAGGGAAACUUACGCUAAUACCGCAUACGACCUACGGGUGAAAGCAGGGGAUCUUCGGACCUUGCGCGAUUGAAUGAGCCGAUGUCGGAUUAGCUAGUUGGCGGGGUAAAGGCCCACCAAGGCGACGAUCCGUAGCUGGUCUGAGAGGAUGAUCAGCCACACUGGAACUGAGACACGGUCCAGACUCCUACGGGAGGCAGCAGUGGGGAAUAUUGGACAAUGGGCGAAAGCCUGAUCCAGCCAUACCGCGUGGGUGAAGAAGGCCUUCGGGUUGUAAAGCCCUUUUGUUGGGAAAGAAAAGCAGCAGGUUAAUACCCCGCUGUUCUGACGGUACCCAAAGAAUAAGCACCGGCUAACUUCGUG
rnacentral:rRNA from 1 species